UCCUGGUUAACCCAGGCAGUCUCGCUAGAGUGCCCGACAUUACUCGCUGGCAACUAACGACAAGGGUUGCGCUCGUUGCGGGACUUAACCCAACACCUCACGGCACGAGCUGACGACAGCCAUGCAGCACCUGUGCACGCGUCUCUUGCGAGAAAACGUUAUCUCUAACGUCGCCACGUGCAUGUCAAAUCCAGGUAAGGUUCUUCGCGUUGCAUCGAAUUAAACCACAUGCUCCACUGCUUGUGCGGGUCCCCGUCAAUUCUUUUGAGUUUUACCCUUGCGAGCGUACUCCCCAGGCGGUAUACUUAUCGCGUUAGCUUCGGCACAGACGGGGUUGAGUCCGUCUACGCCAAGUAUACAUAGUUUAAGGCAAGGACUAC
rnacentral:misc_RNA from 1 species